AUUGAACGCUGGCGGGAUGCUUUACACAUGCAAGUCGAACGGUAGAGGGGGCAACCCCUCGAGAGUGGCGAACGGGUGAGUAAUAUAUCGGAACGUGCCCAGUCGUGGGGGAUAACGUAGCGAAAGUUACGCUAAUACCGCAUACGAUCUAAGGAUGAAAGCGGGGGAUCGCAAGACCUCGCGCGAUUGGAGCGGCCGAUCCCAGAUUAGGUAGUUGGUGGGGUAAAGGCUCACCAAGCCAACGAUCUGUAGCUGGUCUGAGAGGACGACCCGCCAAUCUGGAACGGAGAGACGGUCCAGAACCCUACGGGAGGCAGCCGUGGGGAAUUUGGGACAAUGGACGAAAGUCUGAUCCAGCCAUUCCGCGUGCAGGAUGAAGGCCCUCGGGUUGUAAACUGCUUUUGUACGGAACGAAAAGGUCGCUCUUAAUACGGGGGGCUCAUGACGGUACCGUAAGAAUAAGCACCGGCUAACUACGUGCCAGCCGCCGCUGUAAGAC
rnacentral:rRNA from 1 species